AUGAGCAAGCCGCCACCACGCGAAGGCACUGGGGCACAGCCAGCGUGAGGCACCGAGGUCCCUUCCCAGGGCUUGUUAACACUGUAACCCGGCACUCCGAAGGAAGCAGCUCCACUGCCCAGAGCCUAUCUCACCGCUCAUCAGAUGACUCUGGCUUCUACAUACGGUUGGAGUCCCGCUUGAAACCUGGAUUUAGAGGGGCUCUCUCGCUGCCAUGACACUCAAUCAAAGCACCUAGAGUGGGCUGGCCGAGACCAGAGCGGGUGCCAAGCAGAACAAGUACAGAGGAAGGCACUGAGAGAGCACCAGAACUGGAAAUAAAGCAGCCAUUUGGAUUUGGGCAGGAAGCAGCAGAGCACAGCUUUGGAUCCUUCUUUAGGGAAAUCGAGUUAUGGAUUUAUGGUCCCGGUCAAGCUCAGCCCAGCCCCAGCCAGGGGCGGGCUCAGCAGCAAGAGUUCUGGUGGCGGCGGCGGCGGCAGCAGCGGCGAGCAGUAGCAGCGGCAGCAGCAGCUUGGUCCUCUGACUCUCUUCGGUGACGGGUAUUCUUGGGUGGAUAAUACGGAUUACGUUGUUAUUGCUUAAGAAUACGCGUAGUCGAGGAGAGUACCAGCGGCAGGCGGGCAGCGGCCGCCCCUCCCAGCCCACCAGCUGGCCUCUAAACGCCUGUGGUUGCCAAGAAGUAUAUGAGAACAAUUUUGCUGGGUAUAUGUUUACUUCAAUUCAACCAUUUGGAGAAAUAAUGAAAAUUCUGAUGAGUUUUAAAACUCAUAGUACAAACAUGCAUUGAUCUAUCAUCACAGGGGCAUGUGAUGUAACUGUGGCCAAUGAGACACAAGGCAACAUCUUCUAGAAAGAUUUUUCCCCACUCUUCAGACAAAAGGAAGAGAUGCCUUUCAUCCAACCUUUGAACAGUCUUACAAGAAGCUGUUUGAAGCUGCUGUAGCCAUCUUGUAAGGCUAGAGAGAAUACCUGACUUUCUAAGGAAGACAGAGAAGAGAGUCUCUGAACCAACCCUGGACCACCCUACUUCUAUUAAAAGUUCUUGAUAUGUGACAUAAUAAAUUUUCCUUAUUGUUUAAACCACUUUUAGUUGGGUCUUCUGUUUCUUGCAGUUGAAAUUGAUAUACUCAUUGUUUAUUUC